UCGCCACCCGGCGACGCAAUUUUUUUUCCGUAGACAGUCGGACUCGUCAUUGAUAGUCGGACGCGUCAUUGAUAGUCGGACGCAUCAUUGACCCGCGCCCUUAAACAAAACAUUCAGCGGAUACUCUUCGUAUUAGAUGCGCCUUCCCAGUGUGUCUUGCGCACGCAAUUGGUGAUUUCAAAAUAUUGUAUUGCUUGGUUGAGAUGUCAAAAUCUGAGCAGGACACAUUGUGGCUUCAUAUCUUGUGUGGUGAUGACAUCUGACAUAUUUUAUUAAGUUAUAUCCGCCAUUCCCCCUUGCUUUUCUUUGCUUUUGUAACUGUUUUUUGCCUCUUUUCUUUGCUUUUAAGCUAUGCCUUUCAAACAUCAUGCAUGGAUACGAUGUAUUAAUACAUCUAUAUUUAUUAUUCUCAAUAGAUUAAUAAUAAAU